rnacentral:lncRNA from 1 species
GUGAUUUUGAAAGGUCAGAUCCCCCUAGGUCAUGGAGAUAAUGUUGGGGAACCCCUUUAAAUGCUAUAAAACACCUGAAAUGUAACUUGGAGCAUGCCUUCACCUGAAAAGCCAAUCAGGCAGGGAACUGUGGAAUGAUAUUUGUAGCCCAGAAGAACCAUCACUUCAGAACUCUGGGUUUUGUUUUGAGGAGAGUUCCAGUGAAUUGAAACACAGUCUUUUGAAAGCAGGGCGAAAAUCUUGUUAAAAUCUUCUGUUGUCUAUUUCACAGAAUCACAGAAUCACAGAAUUGCAGAAUUGUAGGGGUUGGAAGGGACCUCUAGAGAUCAUCGAGUCCAACUCCCCUGCCAAUGCAGGUUCCCUACACCACGUCACACAGGUAGGCGUCCAGGCAGGGAACCAAAGCUUUCAGCAGGGGAACUCAAUAGUGAGAUUCUCUCAGGACACUCCAGAUUCUUUCAGACUAAAUAUACUGAUAAUUUCUCCCUGUAGCACCCACUGCAGGAGAAGAUUGUGUACACAGCAGCAUUGUCCGGUUGUUUCAGGAUUCUUGAGAAGGAAGGGAGAGAAGAGAGAUAUCUGCAGAGCAUUAGGGAAACAGUGACUUUGCGGAAGAGAAUUAAGAAGAAGCAAUCAUCAUAAUGAAAUUUUCUCUGAAGAUAGUAGUUUUGUAUCAUUAUCUAAUCAAGGAUAUAUUUUCCUGUCUUAAUGGAAGAGCUGCACAUAGUCCAAGCGUAGCUG